rnacentral:rRNA from 1 species
CACGUAGGGGGCAAGCGUUGUCCGGAUUUAUUGGGCGUAAAGAGCUCGUAGGUGGUUCGGUAAGUCGGGUGUUAAACCCCCAGGCUCAACCUGGGGACGCCACUCGAUACUGCUGUGACUAGAGUCCGGUAGGGGAGCGUGGAAUUCCUGGUGUAGCGGUGAAAUGCGCAGAUAUCAGGAGGAACACCGGAGGCGAAGGCGGUUCUCUGGGCAUGAUCUGACGCUGAGGAGCGAAAGUGUGGGGAGCGAACAGG